rnacentral:lncRNA from 1 species
UAUUUUUUGGUUUUUUUUUUUCUUCCAUUUCUUUAAGGGAUUUUCUCAUGUCCUCUUUGAGGUCCUCUAUCAUUUUCAUGAAGAUGUUUUUAAGGUCAUUCUCUUCUGCAUUGUGAUGUUCAGGCCUUGCUGGUGUAUGGUUCCUAGUCUCCGGUGGUGUCAUAUUGGGUUUUCUGUUGUUGAGUGUGUUUUUACAUUGUCCUCUUCUCAUCCUUUCUUCUGGUGGGUGUUGCAGGAGUCUUUUCCUCUCCUCGUGGGUAUGGGACCAAGGUUCCCUUCUGGUAGAUACAAACAGAUCCAAUACUCUGAUGUCUGUCCUCUUCUCGUGGAUGGAGGUGGCACUGUUACUGGGGCCUCGGCAGUGUCCUGGUGUGUUGGGUCGCGCUGUGGAGGUGAGCAGAUCCGGUGAGCAGAUCUCAACCUGCUCACCUCCCAACCUGCUCUCUGUCCACGAAACUGUGACCUCGCCCCUUUACAUGGCAGGUAGAACAUGCUGGCACACAAGUGUGUGGGCUUAGGGCUACCAUGAGCAUACACAGGCUACAGAUGCCUGUCUCUACCUCAGGGACAGGUGAGUAAGGGUGUUCACUGCUGCCAGGGGGUGCUGUACCCCAGGCCACUCCCUAUAGGCUCUGCUGUAAGGAAGGGGGUAAGAAUCCAGGGCAUACUCUGAUUGGCCAGGAGAGGACUGGGUAAGAAUCCAGGAUGUACUCUGAUUGGCCAGUAGGUGAGUGGGUAAGAAUGCAGGACAUACUCUGAUUGGCUGGGAGGGGAUAAGAAUGCAAGACAUACUCUGAUUGGCUGGGAGGGGAUAAGAAUGCAAGACAUACUCUGAUUGGCUGGGAGGGGAGUAAGAAUGCAGGACAUACUCUGAUUGGCUGGGAGGGGAGUAAGAAUGCAGGGCAUACUCUGAUUGCCAGAACCAGGUUCCUCUGUGAUGAGCCUUAGGAACCAGGAGGGAGGAGAAAGAAGAAAGUGGGCUCUAUUUGCACUCCCCUUUCCAGACUGUUGAGAUCGCGACUUUUCUGACCCUCAUAGUAGUGAAAUGACAUUGGCAGAAGCUUGCUCUGUGACUUCAGGGAUGCUUUCCUCAAAAUCAAGACCUCCAACUGGGCCACGUAAGACAAAACCCUUUGAAAGGGAAAGGAGAGGAACCCACAGGGACAAUGAAAUUCAGGAGAAGAAAUUUGGGGUUUGUGUGUACAUGCAUGCAUCUGUGUGUGGGUGCAUUGGAUGAAUCAGUGCCUCAUUCAUGACACGGGCUCAGCCACUCUGUUUCAAAAAACCUUUUUAAAAAAGAAGCAAUAAACUAACAAAUGCAAGAUGAAUAAAUAGACGUCUGCCCUGU